ACGCUAGCUACAGGCUUAACACAUGCAAGUCGAGGGGCAGCAUGGUCUUAGCUUGCUAAGGCCGAUGGCGACCGGCGCACGGGUGAGUAACACGUAUCCAACCUGCCGUCUACUCUUGGACAGCCUUCUGAAAGGAAGAUUAAUACAAGAUGGCAUCAUGAGUCCGCAUGUUCACAUGAUUAAAGGUAUUCCGGUAGACGAUGGGGAUGCGUUCCAUUAGAUAGUAGGCGGGGUAACGGCCCACCUAGUCUUCGAUGGAUAGGGGUUCUGAGAGGAAGGUCCCCCACAUUGGAACUGAGACACGGUCCAAACUCCUACGGGAGGCAGCAGUGAGGAAUAUUGGUCAAUGGGCGAGAGCCUGAACCAGCCAAGUAGCGUGAAGGAUGACUGCCCUAUGGGUUGUAAACUUCUUUUAUAAAGGAAUAAAGUCGGGUAUGGAUACCCGUUUGCAUGUACUUUAUGAAUAAGGAUCGGCUAACUCCGUGCCAGCAGCCGCGGUAAUACGGAGGAUCCGAGCGUUAUCCGGAUUUAUUGGGUUUAAAGGGAGCGUAGAUGGAUGUUUAAGUCAGUUGUGAAAGUUUGCGGCUCAACCGUAAAAUUGCAGUUGAUACUGGAUAUCUUGAGUGCAGUUGAGGCAGGCGGAAUUCGUGGUGUAGCGGUGAAAUGCUUAGAUAUCACGAAGAACUCCGAUUGCGAAGGCAGCCUGCUAAGCUGCAACUGACAUUGAGGCUCGAAAGUGUGGGUAUCAAACAGGAUUAGAUACCCUGGUAGUCCACACGGUAAACGAUGAAUACUCGCUGUUUGCGAUAUACGGCAAGCGGCCAAGCGAAAGCGUUAAGUAUUCCACCUGGGGAGUACGCCGGCAACGGUGAAACUCAAAGGAAUUGACGGGGGCCCGCACAAGCGGAGGAACAUGUGGUUUAAUUCGAUGAUACGCGAGGAACCUUACCCGGGCUUAAAUUGCAGAUGAAUUACGGUGAAAGCCGUAAGCCGCAAGGCAUCUGUGAAGGUGCUGCAUGGUUGUCGUCAGCUCGUGCCGUGAGGUGUCGGCUUAAGUGCCAUAACGAGCGCAACCCUUGUUGUCAGUUACUAACAGGUUCCGCUGAGGACUCUGACAAGACUGCCAUCGUAAGAUGUGAGGAAGGUGGGGAUGACGUCAAAUCAGCACGGCCCUUACGUCCGGGGCUACACACGUGUUACAAUGGGGGGUACAGAGGGCCGCUACCACGCGAGUGGAUGCCAAUCCCCAAAACCUCUCUCAGUUCGGACUGGAGUCUGCAACCCGACUCCACGAAGCUGGAUUCGCUAGUAAUCGCGCAUCAGCCACGGCGCGGUGAAUACGUUCCCGGGCCUUGUACACACCGCCCGUCAAGCCAUGGGAGCCGGGGGUACCUGAAGUGCGUAACCGCGAGGAGCGCCCUAGGGUAAAACUGGUGACUGGGGC
rnacentral:rRNA from 1 species